ACUUUGUCUGUCAGCCCUUCCAUCCUGUGAUUUGGCCCAGGCUUGCUUUCUGCCUCUCCUGUGCUCAGCUUGGGCUGGGGGCUGCCCCUCUCCUGAGGACUCAGUCUCAGUGAUUCAGAGAGAAUGAACACUGCAGCAGCAAAGCUCUGUGUCCAGGACACCCAGGUCUGCAUUCUGGCUCUGCAGUCAGCUAUGACAUCAUCUCCCCAGACAAUAACUAGGAUCCACCAGCAUAUCAGAUGUCAGCCUCAGCCACCAAGUUCCAGAUGCUACCAUGAUGCCAACCAGAGUUCCCUGGGCAGACAAUUCUACCAAUGUGUCCUGGAGCCCUGCUUCCCCAGAACCCUGCCCCACAAGGGAAAGAAGAGAGGCAGGCUGGGAGUAUGGAUCAACCUGUCAACACCCAUGUUCAGUGGGGAAAUAAUUACAGAAGCCAGACCUCCCACCUUCUGCACCCCACAAUGACCCUAGGUCCAUACUCCCAGAUCUAUAAAGAAUAGGAAAGCUACCAGGGGAAGAGAUGGGAUAGGGAGUUCUGGUGAUGGGAAUUGUGUGGAGUUGUACCCCUCUUAUCCUAUGGUUUUUAUCAGUGUUUCCUUCUUAUAAAUAACAAUUUUUUUUAAAGGAAAAAAAUAGCCUCCAGGAGCAGUGCAUUUGUAGUGCAGGCAAAAAGCCCAACAAUAACCCUGGAGGCAAAAAAAAAAAAAUUCAACCCCCUACUAGGUCCUCCUCUGCUGUCAUGCUCCAGGAACUGAACUCUCCCCCCACCCUAGUCUUUUUUUUUUUUUUUUAAUUUACUUAUUGGGGAAUUACUGUUUUACAGUCAACAGUAAAUACAAUAGUUUGUACAUGCAUAACAUUUCUCAGUUUUUCACAUAAUAAUACA